rnacentral:misc_RNA from 1 species
AAGUCGUAACAAGGUUUCCGUAGGUGAACCUGCGGAAGGAUCAUUACCGAUCAUGUUGGUCAUUCGAUCAAAGUGAGCUGGAAAGUUUCGACUGGAAAGCUAGUCAUAGGUGGCGAGCAUCUCACGGUGCAACCCGUUUAUGGCGGCAGUGUCUGACACUGUUCUUGAGAGUGUUCACGCACUCCCUGUGUUUAGAAAGGAAUACAAAAGCAGAACAACUGCAAACGGUGGAUCACUCGGCUC